rnacentral:rRNA from 1 species
GAGUUUGAUCCUGGCUCAGGACGAACGCUGGCGGCGUGCUUAACACAUGCAAGUCGAGCGGAAAGGCCCUUUCGGGGGUACUCGAGCGGCGAACGGGUGAGUAACACGUGAGUAACCUGCCCCAGUCUUUGGGAUAACCCUCGGAAACGAGGCUAAUACCGGAUAUGACAUUCCACCGCAUGGUGUGGGUGUGGAAAGUUUUUCGGUCUGGGAUGGGGCUCGCGGCCUAUCAGCUUGUUGGUGGGGUGAUGGCCUACCAAGGCGACGACGGGUAGCCGGCCUGAGAGGGCGACCGGCCACACUGGGACUGAGGACACGGCCCAGACUCCUACGGGAGGCAGCAGUGGGGAAUAUUGCACAAUGGGCGGAAGCCUGAUGCAGCGACGCCGCGUGAGGGAUGACGGCC